rnacentral:tRNA from 1 species
GCCUGGGUGGCUUAGUCGGUUAAGCAUCUGACUUCAGCUCACAGUUCAUGGGUUCAGGCCCGUGUCAGGCU